UAAUGUGUACCGUCAACAAAUAUUUUUUUUUUUAAAUUUGAACUCCAUACAAAGUCUUAAUCCGGGGGUCCACAAGUAAGAGAAAGGUAUUUUUUACUCAGACAAUAUAGCCAGACAGACUUGAAUGCUAAUUGGUGUUAAGAUGUCUGUAGUUAAAAUAAAGUUGGGCCCAAUAAACUGGUAGAUCAAAGGCCUGUUGAGCGCUCAUGCCCGGUGUGAUUUUAACAAUUGACUCCAAAUGCGUUGACAAGAAAAUAAGUAAAACUGUUAUUGAAUGUGAUUGGUUGAUAAAAUCAACGUACUAUAGGCUACAUUUUGUCUGCGAUAUCAUCUCGGUGGAAGCGGACAUUAAAUGAAGUGAUUUCACACAAUUAAUUUAACAUUUAACAACGUGCUGAAAUGAUUUUGGAGCAGUGAUAUGUUUGACAAAUGUAAGCUAAUGGUCACAUAGAAUACAAGACCGCAGAAUCACAUUAUGAUUAAAGCAGAAACGGUUCGACUUGAACCAGCAGGUAAGAAUCUGUUUUGAAAUUAUAUCUUGGGAGGUUGGAUUGGCGUUGGAGACCCGAUUGGCGGCCAUUUUGAUUCUUGUUUCAUGAUUUUUUUUAUAUUAUAACGAUUUUGCCAAGAGUAGACAUAAACGCGGGCACAGACUAGAAAAAAUCUUUUUACACUUUUGUGUUAGUUGAAUUGUAAUCUAAUUUAUGUUUAAAAAAACAACCUUAAAUCAAAUAAGCAGAUAUUUUCCCCAAACCCUCCGUUCAACCUCCGACUCUGUCACUCUGUGGAAUAUUAUUAGGCCCCUAUUUUCCUGAUUCAGUCACAGUUAAUAAAUAAUAAAUAAUGGAACUAGAAUCAGUCUGUGGAAGUUUCUCUAUAGUUUCAUUAUUUUUUCCAGUCAGUGAUGAUAUGACUCAUUCCACCUUACAGUUACAGCAAUUACCGUAUUGAGAAUUUACCGUUCAAGGACUCCAUUUUGGCAUUGAAUUGGAAUUUGAAGAAAAACUGUUUCAAUAUUGGAUGUAUAUGCAAAUCACCCAGGAAAAGAUCAUGUAACAAAAGAAAUUAUAAAAGUAAAAAAAUGGAAGAAGAAAUGGCUGGAAAAAAUGAUGAUAGAGCAGCUUUUUCUUGUUAGCCACCUCGGAAGAUCAAGACAGCUGGAAAGGGCUAUUGAUAUUGUGGAAGUGUUUUCUUACAGAGGUUGCUUAUCAGACAAAGGCUAUUUAACUACAUCAGAAAGAUAAAAACAGUUGGAAAUGGCUAUUCAUAUUGUGGAAACUUUUCUCACAGAGCUUGAUAAUCAGGCAAAAUGCUGGAACACCCUUGAAAGAGUAUUUGGUGUAUGAUAACAACAAGAGAACCCAAGCAUCAAUUUAUUUUAUACUUCUGGGAAAGAAUGCAUUUGACCCAAUUUUUAAAUAUUUAUUUUUUGUUAUUAAUGUUAAAUUUUCUUCCAAAACACAAUUAGAUUUUAAUUCUCUUCAAAUAUGUAUGUAUAAUAUAGCAAGUAAACUGACAUAUAAAUCACUUAGAAUUUGGUCGGAAAUCAUAAAGUAUUUAAUAGGCAUUACUAGAAACCAAAUGUAGAUCAAAUACACCCAGAAUUACAAAAAACCUUGACCUACAUUAAGGUGACUUUCCCUUGCUUAUGAAAUGAAAUACGUUUUAAUUUCCUGCUUUUCUGUGUUCUUAGAGUGAUUCUACCCUACCCUUAUAUCAAAUAUUUCAACUGUCAAGGGUUCUUUAAAGGGUACCCAGGGGGGCCGAAUGGUUAACACGCACACAUUUGAUCAGAAGGUCUGUCAUUGAUUCAAAUAAUUCAAUUUUCAAGGGUUCUUCAAAGUGUACGCAGUUGGGUUGGUUUCAAUUCUGGGGGGUGGGGGUGGAUGGCCGAAUGGUUAGCACGUGCAUGCUGUAUCAUACGGCCUCCUGUCAUUGAGUCAACUGGCAUGGUUUCGAAUCCCUGGUUGUAGACAAGGAGUGGGGUCGCCUGUCCAAUCUUGUGGGUUUUCUCCGGGACCUCCGGUUUCCUCCCACUGCUAAAGACCCCUACGCGCUAGCGAAUUAUUGAAAUAAAAUUAAACCAUAUGUUAGUCCCAAAAUGAUCUAAUUUGUGUCGAGUAGACGUUAAACCCCAUUUCUCUCUGUCUCUCUCUCUUUUGAUUCUGGGCUUGUACCCAAUUAUCCCUUGCCAUAUCCAACACUGAAAAGUGGGAACUAUGCCGGAAAAUCCAGUUGAAAUUUCGCGGCCAAUGCCUUAUGCUCACUGAACCACUGUGGCUUAUGACUUGUGAUUGUAUAUAAAUCUUUUGUACAUAUGAUAUUUUUUUAUUUCAAUCCUGUAAUCUUGAUGCUUUGCUUCUUUUAUUUAUAAAAUAUUCAUUUUGUUUGGGGUUUUUUUAAUGAGGAAAAGGCUCUACAUCAUUUUAUUACUCCUGCAAAAUAGAGCAAUUUUCUUUUGUUAGUUUUCUGUGUAUGCUAGUUAUUUCUAGAUGCCUCACAAAUCACUUGUAGUGUGAUUUUGUAGCAUUUUUCAGUUUUUGAAAUUGUUUCAAUUUAGUGCAUAAUUAAUCUUAUUAGUGCUUAGUUUGGAUGUUAUUAAAUUUAGAUAUAUUUGAAUUAUAUAUUUUGGGGUAUGGGGUAGGGAUACUGUGUACAUAUCUUUAUAUUCUCAGUUCUUGUUUUGGGGUAAAGAACAAUUUAAAUAGCUAUUUUAUAUUUUGUGAUGGGUAAAGUGUGUGGGGCAAAAAACAAUUUAAAUAGCUAUUUUAUAUUUUGUGAUGGGUAAAGUGGGGGGGGGGGGUCAUUAUAUAUAACACAAUAUAAUUUGUAUUAGAAUUGAAGUCUCUGUUUUUCUGUUAACAUUUCAAAUAUCUAUUUAGUUUUGAUGUAUUAAUUUACUUUUU